GGGUGUGUAGCUCAACCCGGUAGAGCAGCGGUCUCCAAAGCCGCCGGUUGCAGGUUCGAUUCCUGCCGCGCCCGC
rnacentral:tRNA from 3 species